GUCAGGAUGGCCGAGCGGUCCAAGGCGCUGCGUUCAGGUCGCAGUCCGGUCUUCCGGCGUGGGUUCGAAUCCCACUUCUGACA
rnacentral:tRNA from 1 species